GGUUGAGGACCCGGGAUGAAAUGGCAAACACAAUCAGAAACACAAAAUAACACAAGUGCACAAGUCCAGGAAGCAAAAUACAAGUCACUUGAGGAGACAGCAAAACAAAAGUGGCCGAGGGAUCUGAUUGGAAGACACGAGAGUCAUGCUUGGAGAGCACAAGUGGAAAGCACAAGGCAAGGUAGAUGCCCUGAUUCAGUAUUCGCUUCCAUUCAUGUGUGCUAGCAAGUGACCCGCAUCAUCCACUUCUCCAUGGUUGGCGUCACCUUUGACCUUAAGGCCCAGUUAAAAACAAACUGUUUGUUCUUAAGUGGACCCGACGUUUAAAUUGGUGUUGGAAGCCGCUACAAUCAUGUCAUCAUGAAGAGAUGCGCCCACCCGUCUGAAAAGUGAAUAAAAAAAUAUUACCAUUCAAAGAUGGCACAAAACCACUCAACCAACAAAAAACACAAGAUCAGAAUGCUGUUUAUUCUCGUGCCCGGAGAUAAACCGGAGCCCCUUUGCAAAUGUUUACAACGCAGCGGGGACCCGACACGCUGACCUGUGGCGCCGCCGCAGCCUUUAUGGAGCACACGUAAAUGGAAAAUUCGGACCUUUGCGCAUACGACAAGCACGCUAGUGCUGUUAAUUAGCGCCUGACGAUACGAAUAUUUAUUUUUAAGACUAUGCCUGUAAUUAAUCGGUUGAUUAUAUAUAAAUAUAUAUGUAGGGAGAAAAUACGAUAACUUCUCAUUUAGUCCCUUUACGCAUACAAUAAUAAAAAUAUCAAUUACCGGCAGAAGUAUUAAAUGCUUUGACCUUCAGGAUUUGUUUUGAAAUACGAAAAUGUGAUUAAUUGGUUGAGCCCCACUUUUAAUCACAUGCCAACGUUCACCUAUACCCGCAGCAGUGAUACUGAGGAAAAAUGAAUUGAACUGUGAUCCAGAUUUAAUACACUGAUGCUAAAUUGAUGAUUGACAGCUCGUCGUCAACGGUGGCUAAUUAGAAGAAACCGCAAUGGAAAGGUUCUGCGGGUUCAUUAGGGCAAAUUGGAAACUCUGAGUCAGGACCACAUUUGGAAACUCAAUUUAUUAACAGAGUAAAGGUUGUCACUCUUACUAAUCCUGAGAUUUCGUGAGGACUGGAUGAAGGUUAAAUGGAGUGCACAAAGUUGUCGCGACUAGCAAGGCACUAGCCUCAACUAGCUUGAAAUAUUCUUUGCUUCUAAAACCGCAACUUGCGAUGCUAGCUGUUAGCAUGUCAACGAUGUCGCUUGUUAGCAUUAGCAAAGUUGUGAUUCUUUUCUCUAAUUUUGUUUUAUGUUUAGUUUGGGAGUGACUUUUAAGACAAUUAAGCCUUUUUGUUGAAUUAUUAUUCACUAUUACUGCUGGUUGUUAAGUUGACUACCACCAAAGAGCGCUUGUAUCUCAAGUCUAUGCUCCCAAGUCAAAGCAAAACAAUAA